rnacentral:tRNA from 1 species
UCCCUGGUGGCUCAGAGGGUAAAGCAUCUGCCUGCAAUGCAGGAAACCCAGGUUCGAUUCCUGGGUUGGGAA